GACGAACGCUGGCGGCGUGCUUAACACAUGCCAGUCGAACGAAGAGCGAUGGAAGCUUGCUUCUAUCAAUCUUAGUGGCGAACGGGUGAGUAACGCGUAAUCAACCUGCCCUUCAGAGGGGGACAACAGUUGGAAACGACUGCUAAUACCGCAUACGAUCUAAUCUCGGCAUCGAGGAUAGAUGAAAGGUGGCCUCUACAUGUAAGCUAUCACUGAAGGAGGGGAUUGCGUCUGAUUAGCUAGUUGGAGGGGUAACGGCCCACCAAGGCGAUGAUCAGUAGCCGGUCUGAGAGGAUGAACGGCCACAUUGGGACUGAGACACGGCCCAGACUCCUACGGGAGGCAGCAGUGGGGAAUCUUCCGCAAUGGACAAAAGUCUGACGGAGCAACGCCGCGUGAGUGAUGACGGCCUUCGGGUUGUAAAGCUCUGUUAAUCGGGACGAAAGGCCUUCUUGCGUAUAGUGAGAAGGAUUGACGGUACCGGAAUAGAAAGCCACGGCUAACUACGUG
rnacentral:rRNA from 1 species